rnacentral:lncRNA from 1 species
CCCAUCAUAUGCUGUGCUCCUCCUAACCUAAGACCUGUUUGGGGUAUCAUCCUGCGAUAAUAAGAAUCUCACCUUGCGACGUCGCCUCUCGUCCUCCUGAGUCUCCUGUCUCGUGCCUAAUCCACCUUCACCUGGAGCUCCACCUCACUCUGGGCUCCACCUAGCUCCAAAACUCUACCUCGCACUAGGCUCUCCAUCAGGAAUAAUGUCCUCUCCUUCUCUUCUUCCCCUCCAGAGCAAUCCUAUCGCCGUAUAGUACCUUCAAGAUUUCUCCAUCAGCUACCAUCCUAUAACCUCUCGAAUCCAGUCUGCUCAGUGAGAUAAAAUUUUACCUAAAAUCAGGUAUGUAUUGGACCUCCUCCAAUUUUUUCUCUGCACCAUCAUGUAUCCUCCAGCUGACUGUCCCGAUAUCUCUAAUCGUACAACUCGAUCCAUCCGAUAGAUAAAUAGUGCCCUCACUAUUCUUCAGGGAGUCAAACUACUCCUCUCUACAAUAUACAUGAUGGGUGCAUGCAGAAUCUAAAAUUCAUUAUUGGGAAGA